GCCCGGAAGCUGCUGUACAGGCGGCCGCUCGGCAGAGGGAGCGGUUGUCUGGGAUUCUCUCCUUAGGGCUGCGGGUUCCGACUACCAAAUUAUCGCUCAUUUAGUUCGUUCCUAAACUGUGGGCUAGUCCCUGGCAGCCGUGGGGUCGCGGCUGCGUUCGCGUCACAGUCCCAUUGCCCUGGAAACGGAUGGAGCCUCAGUGGCUUUGAGAGGCCGAGAAGGCUUUGGCUCGACUCUUGGAGUUUAGGGGGUUGCACUCUCUUCGGAGCCUAUACCCGACGGAAAUAACCGCCCGGAAAACGGUGGUCGAAGUAACUGAGGACUCCUCACUUUUCGCUUUUCGUCGUGCUCUCGCCCUGAAAACACUGCUCCACCCUGGGAAUCCAAAGAUGAACCGGGCACACUCCUUGCCUUCAAGUUGCUGACAGUUUUAUGGGGACAGUGUAUGGCAUAUAAGUGACAGUACGUGACGAUCCGCUAUACAAUUUGGGUCACAAAUUCAAAUUCCCAUAGGAUGGCUCCAGGAUGUUCAAUAAGUGUUUGGAGACUUUCUGGAUGGAUUUGUCUAGGAUUAAGGUUUAGCGUUGGAAUGGAAAACAAGGCUAGACAGAGAAAAGAGAAAACAGAUUGGGAAGAACGUUAAAGAGCAAGACUUUUGCCCAUGCUUUCCCAUCACUGACUGACCCUGGUGCUUCCUGAGGCCCUGCAUGGCACAGCGGCUUGUCCCCUCCUCUUGGGAACUGUAAGUAACAAACCAUCUUUUCAAUGGCAGUUGUCUCCUGACCUGUUGGCUUCAUUAUACCAGA